CGAUAUCAGGGUGAUCUGGCUGCUACAUAUUUUGCCCCAUUGAUUUCCAAGGUGACUGAUCUGACUGGUUAGGCAGGUGUCCCUUUCCUCUCUCAAUGCUCCACACUCUGCAUGCAUCCCUCCUAAUGCUGCAUACAUAGUUGAAGAGGAUGACCUUCCCUCACAGAGGAGGACCAGGUUUGGUUCAAGGGUAUAUGAGUAGCUGUGUUCCCCUGCUAGAACCUACAAAUAAGCUCUCAUUUUCUUUCACUUGAAAAUAAGAUCAAAGAAGAUAAGUAAUCAAUUAUUUUUCUUGCUCAAAUGGAUUGCAGUCAAAA
rnacentral:snRNA from 1 species